AUUGAACGCUGGCGGAAUGCUUUACACAUGCAAGUCGAACGGCAGCACGGGGGCAACCUGGUGGCGAGUGGCGAACGGGUGAGUAAUAUAUCGGAACGUGCCCAAUCGUGGGGGGAUAACGUAGCGAAAGUUACGCUAAUACCGCAUACGAUCUACGGAUGAAAGCGGGGGAUCGCAAGACCUCGCGCGAAUGGAGCGGCCGAUAUCAGAUUAGGGUAGUUGGUGGGGUAAAGGCUCACCAAGCCAACGAUCUGUAGCUGGUCUGAGAGGACGACCAGCCACACUGGAACUGAGACACGGUCCAGACUCCUACGGGAGGCAGCAGUGGGGAAUUUUGGACAAUGGGCGCAAGCCUGAUCCAGCCAUUCCGCGUGCAGGAUGAAGGCCUUCGGGUUGUAAACUGCUUUUGUACGGAACGAACGGUCUGCCCUAAUACGGCGGGCUAAUGACGGUACCGUAACGAAUAAGCACCGGCUAACUACGUGCCAGCAGCCGCGGUAAUCAUACC
rnacentral:rRNA from 1 species